GGCUCCUGUCCUUAUAUGUCUAGCCCUGGCCUGGAGCACUGGAGGAUGAGGUCCGCUGACUGCAGCGUCCAUCCGGGUCCUCCCCAGGCACUGUGGCCUCCCUCACAGCAUGGCUGCGUUGGGUACUCGGACUUCACGUGGAAGGCCAGGGCUCCGAGAGCAAAUGCCCCAGCAAGACAGAAGCUCAGCCGCCUUUGAUGACCUAGAAGCUAGGCAGCAUCCAUUGUACUGCCUUCUAUGGAUUGUGAAUGAGUCCCAAACCUGCCUUGACUCAAGGAAACGGAAUUAGACUCUACGUCUUGACUAGGUAGUGGCGAAGUUCUGGAAGCACAUGAGUAGGAGAUACUGUGACGUUUUCAUCUUUGGAAAAUACCAUCUAGCACACCUGAAUCUGCUUUCAGGGGGUGUAAGGGGAUUUCCAUGGCAAAAUUUGAAGCCACAUGUGGUCAGCGCUUUGUACUGUGGAAACAAAGUGCUCUGGGCAUCCAGAAAGGGGGUACGUUUUUUCUUACUGGGAUAAAUCUGGCUGCAUUUUAGCUAAUCCUGGAAAACUGAUCGACAAAAGCAAAGGACCAAGAAAGCUGCUUAUAUCAGUGUCUCCUCCACCCUCAGCCUCCAGUAGCAUCCCUACGUUUUUCAAUUUUAUUUAUGUCACUUUAAAUAAGGACAUUGAGAGGGAAAAGGCCUCAUCGACAUACCAACUACAGGCCAGGUGGACCUUCGGUGCACACACACCCCAGCGCCCACGGAGAUCCAGGCCUCCUGUGUAUGAAUGUGUGCCAUGAAUUUAGACCUAUUUCUCGCCUUCCGGGCUCUCUAUUCCUCAUCCUCCAUCCAAGUGGCCAUCUUGUGCAGGCCCUGAAAGCAGCAGAUCUCGCCUGCAUUGGAGGAUGAGACGCCACAUGAAGAAGAAAGAAGACGCCACAGACAGCAGCGCGGUACCACCUUCCAGAGAUGUGAGUGUGACCGUCUUUGACCUUCUAGCCCAACUGCUUUCCCUGAAUGCAAUGCAUGAGCAGGCCAGGCAAAACUAGAAAGGGAAGCUGCCCAGCUAACCCACAGAAUUAUGAGAGAUAAAAAAUCAUUGUCUUAAGCCACUAAGUCUGUUAUGCAGCAAUAUAUAGCAUUCAUUCAACUUUUGUCUCAUGAAUACUCUCAUCUCUUUUAUAAGUUCUUUUGUGGUUCAAGUUAGCUCAAAUCAGUUUCUGAUGCUUAUGACCAAAUGCCCCUAUGUGAUAGAUUUUGAGGGUUUAAGAAGCUUGCUCGGAUCACACAGCGGUAAGUAGCAGCACUUCAUCUUUAACCCACGUCUGGCCCACUCACUUUCCAUAGGUCCUUGCUGCCUCCCUCCCUAAUCCCUUCCAGUCUAGUUUCCUCACUCAUUUUAGCAUCUUGAAGAUGCCUGAUCUUUUGUAACAGGCACUUAGAAGAGGCAAUAAUCAAGCUGUGAGCUGGAAUACUGGGUGUCUCAUCCAAUAACCAGGUUGGCAGGUUGGUAACCAUACAAGGGACUUUUCAAACUGGAGAAUUAGUGUGCUGAGCACAAAGUGGUGAGUAUUUUGAGAGUUAUUGAAAUAUAAUUGACAUAACAAUAAAAAUACAAUAUUUAAGUGCAUUUAUUUCAAGUGUACGAUUUGACAAGUUUGGUUAUAUUAUAUACACCUACGAAACCAUCACCACAAUUAAGAUAAUGAGCAUAGCUAUCACACACAAAAGUUUCCUUGUGCCCCUUGGUAAUUCCUCCCUCUCUCCUGCCCACAUCUCUCCUUUUCCCAGGCAACUCCUGAUCUGAUUUCUGCCGCUAUCAAUUCGUUUGCAUUUCCUAGAAUUUUAAAUAACUGAAAACAUACAUUAAGAACUCUUUUUCUCUGGCCGAGUAUGGUGGCUCACGCCUGUAAUCCCAGCACUUUGGGUGGCCAAGGCGGGCAGAUCACCUGAGGUCAGGAGUUCGAGACCACCCUGGCCAACAUGGUGAAACCCCGUCUCUACUAAACAUACAAAAAUUAGCCAGGCAUGGUGGUGGGCAUCUGUAAUCCCAGCUACUCGCGAGGCUGAGGCAGGAGAAUCGCUUGAACCUGGGAGACAGAGGUUGCAGUGGGCUGAGAUCACGCCACUGCACUCCAGCCUGGACAACAGAGCGAGACUCCAUCCCC
rnacentral:lncRNA from 1 species